AGAGUUUGAUCCUGGCUCAGGACGAACGCUGGCGGCGUGCUUAAUACAUGCAAGUCGAGCGAGGUUACUGGAGUGGAGCCCUUCGGGGUGAAGCUGCUUUAACCUAGCGGCGGACGGGUGAGUAACGCGUGGGUAACCUACCCCAAAGCCCGGGAUAACAGCGGGAAACCGCUGCUAAUACCGGAUGACUUUACCUUGGGGCAUCUUGAGGUAAAGAAAGGUUAACGCUUUGGGAUGGGCCCGCGUCCCAUUAGCUAGUUGGUGAGGUAACGGCUCACCAAGGCGACGAUGGGUAGCCGGCCUGAGAGGGUGGACGGCCACACUGGGACUGAGACACGGCCCAGACUCCUACGGGAGGCAGCAGUAGGGAAUAUUGCGCAAUGGACGGAAGUCUGACGCAGCGACGCCGCGUGAGCGAUGAAGGCCUUCGGGUCGUAAAGCUCUGUCCUUGGGGAAGAAGGUCUUCGGACUUGACGGUACCCAAGAAGAAAGCCCCGGCUAACUACGUGCCAGCAGCCGCGGUAAUACGUAGGGGGCGAGCGUUGUCCGGAAUUACUGGGCGUAAAGGGUGCGUAGGCGGCCCUUUAAGUCAGAUGUGAAAGCCCGCGGCUUAACCGCGGAACUGCAUUUGAAACUGGAGGGCUUGAGUGUCGGAGAGGGUAGUGGAAUUCCCAGUGUAGCGGUGAAAUGCGUAGAUAUUGGGAGGAACACCAGUGGCGAAGGCGACUACCUGGACGAUAACUGACGCUGAGGCACGAAAGCUAGGGGAGCAAACAGGAUUAGAUACCCUGGUAGUCCUAGCCGUAAACGAUGAAUCACUAGUGCGGCCGCCUGCAGGUCGACCAUAUGGGAGAGCUCCCAACGCGUUGGAUGCAUAGCUUGAGUAUUCUAUAGUGUCACCUAAAUAGCUUGGCGU
rnacentral:rRNA from 1 species